rnacentral:rRNA from 1 species
UGCAAGUCGAACGAACACUUCGGUGUUAGUGGCGCACGGGUGCGUAACGCGUGGGAAUCUACCCUUGGGUUCGGAAUAACAGUGGGAAACUACUGCUAAUACCGGAUGAUGACGUAAGUCCAAAGAUUUAUCGCCCAGGGAUGAGCCCGCGUAGGAUUAGCUAGUUGGUAAGGUAAAGGCUUACCAAGGCUACGAUCCUUAGCUGGUCUGAGAGGAUGAUCAGCCACACUGGGACUGAGACACGGCCCAGACUCCUACGGGAGGCAGCAGUAGGGAAUAUUGGACAAUGGGCGAAAGCCUGAUCCAGCAAUGCCGCGUGAGUGAUGAAGGCCUUAGGGUUGUAAAGCUCUUUUACCCGGGAUGAUAAUGACAGUACCGGGAGAAUAAGCCCCGGCUAACUCCGUGCCAGCAGCCGCGGUAAUACGGAGGGGGCUAGCGUUGUUCGGAAUUACUGGGCGUAAAGCGCACGUA